rnacentral:rRNA from 1 species
UGCCAGCCGCCGCGGUAAGACGAAGGUGGCAACCGUUGUUCGGAAUCACUGGGCAUAAAGAGCACGUAGGCGGGAAUGUAAGUCGGGUGUGAAAUCCCUCGGCCCAACCGAGGAACUGCGCCCGAUACUGCAUACCUUGAGGGCAGGAGGGGAGCGUGGAAUUCCUGGUGGAGCGGUGAAAUGCGUUGAUAUCAGGAGGAACACCGGCGGCGAAGGCGACGCUCUGGCCUGCUUCUGACGCUGAGGUGCGAAAGCCAGGGGAGCAAACGGGAUUAGAUA